CUCUGUCCUCAAGGAAGAUAAUGACGGUACUUGAGGAGGAAGCCCCGGCUAACUACGUGCCAGCAGCCGCGGUAAGACGUAGGGGGCUAGCGUUAUCCGGAUUUACUGGGCGUAAAGGGUGCGUAGGCGGUCUUUCAAGUCAGGAGUGAAAGGCUACGGCUCAACCGUAGUAAGCUCUUGAAACGGGGAGACUUGAGUGCAGG
rnacentral:rRNA from 1 species